AAUGUGAGUGAGUAGCCCCAAAAAGGCCAAUAUUUGAGUGAAAUGUUGGUACACGAUUUAAGCUCCUACAACGGAAUGGCUUAUUUGUGUUGUCUGAAUGAGAAAUGUAUGUCCCUAACGUCAAAAUUGCUACUUUGAUUGCACAUAGGCGGGGAUUUUCCCUCCUUGCUCCCUUAACUCAAAUUUAACAUGUCCCUAACGUCUAAGGUUUGAUUUAAAUUUUUGCGAAAACGCAAAGCGGCUAAGUUAAAAUUUUUUUAAAGAAAACGCGGGGAUGAAAAGUUGUUUCCCACACUUAGACAAAUUUGGACUAAAAUUGACUGGCCCUAACUAUUCGACAGCCUCUAUUCUUCCUCUUCGUUCUACGCCUCCUCCUCGCUCUAUUCCUCCUCUUCAUCCUCUUGGUUCUUCGAAUCCAAGCAGAACUCGACACCUCGUCCUCCAUCCAGCUCUUGUUCCUCCUCUUCGUUCUACGCCUCCUCUUCGCUCUAUUCCUCCUCUUCAUCCUCUUGGUUCUUCGAAUCCAAGCAGAACUCGACGCCUCGUCCUCCAUCUUUUUCGAGUCAGGCCAGCUCUUGUACGUGCUCGAAGACAGUGAACAGCAUCGGUUCCUCAAGACCGCCGUUUCGGAGAAACUUUGAGCUUUUGAGUCAUAGGAAUUGUGUUUCAUCUACAAAGUUAUUCUUCAUUCAGCUGGGCAAAGUUCGAAGCUUGCAUGACCAUGUAACUGGAGCUUUCUAGGCAUUCUUUAUCUCUGGAGAAGUUAGUGUUGAACGAUUUCGACAUUGAAAAGGAUGCCCAAGGGGUUGAUAAGCCAGUCAUCUGGGAAUUUAAAGCAGUUGAGGUUAAGAAGAAAACUUUAGAGAUCCGAUUUCAUUGGUCUGGGAAAGGGACAACAGCUUCCCCAAACAGAGGAGUAUAUGGUCCCCUUAUUUCAGCUCUCUCUAUAGAAUCAGAUCGUAAAAUACUAGAAACAGAAUUGUGGAAGAAGAUGGGAG